rnacentral:rRNA from 1 species
AGGACGAACGCUGGCGGCGUGCCUAAUACAUGCAAGUCGAACGGUCUUUCUAUGGAAGCUUGCUUCCACUGAGAAGAUAGUGGCGAACGGGUGAGUAACACGUGGGUAACCUGCCCAUAAGAGGGGGAUAACAUCCGGAAACGGGUGCUAAUACCGCAUAGUUUUCUUGAUCGCAUGAUUGAGAAAGGAAAGACGGCCUUUGUGCUGUCGCUUAUGGAUGGACCCGCGGCGUAUUAGUUAGUUGGUGAGGUAACGGCUCACCAAGACGAUGAUACGUAGCCGACCUGAGAGGGUGAUCGGCCACAUUGGGACUGAGACACGGCCCAAACUCCUACGGGAGGCAGCAGUAGGGAAUCUUCCGCAAUGGACGAAAGUCUGACGGAGCAACGCCGCGUGAGUGAAGAAAGGGUUUUCGGAUCGUAAAACUCUGUUGUCAGAGAAGAACAAGUUGGAGAGUAACUGCUCCAGCCUUGACGGUAUCUGACCAGAAAGCCACGGCUAACUACGUGCCAGCCGCGGC